rnacentral:rRNA from 1 species
AUGAACAAAAGCAAUGUCAACUUGAAGGGUUGCUCUGUUAACCUACCGUUAAAGCUUGUGGAACAUUUCAAGGAGGACACAUCUAAAGCUACUAUUCAACUAGAAGCCCCUAAUGACAAUAUAUAUGGUGUUGAAGCUUGCAAGCACGGUGAUGACCAAACAGUCCUCCAAUAUGGGUGGAAUAAUCUUGUAGAUGCUAAUCGCAUACAAGAGAAUGACCUCCUUAUUUUUAUAACCAAGGGUAAGAAACGCCUUGAAGUUCGUAUUCUUGGCACAAGUGUUCAUCAGAGAACCUCUUCAUGCUUUGACACGGGAAAUAUUUCUAGUACUCAAGAAAUUCGUGAAGAUUCUCUUGAAAUAACUGAUCCACCCCCUCAUACAGACUACUAUGUGAGUAGUUCUGAUGAUGAUCACAUUAUGGAAGAAGGAUACUAUGUGAGUAGUUCUGAUGAUGAUCGCAUUGCGGAAGAAGACUAUGUGAGUAGUUCUGAUGGUGAUCACAUUGUGGAAGAAGGCACUAGAAAAUCAUGUAGGCGGCAGAAGCAGGCACCUAGUUGCCAUGCAAAAGCUCAAAAGGUGGCUUCAACGUCCUCCCCAUCUGCUGCUAAAUCAGGAUAUGAAGCUCACAAGCUGAAUGAGCGAGCAUCUGUGGAGUUUGGGGUCAAUUUGGAACCUCAUAGCUCCACCAGCAAUCUCGAGGGGCCUUCCCAGUAUCCCUACAUUCUAUCUGAAGGAAGGGCAAGUCUAAGUAGUGCGGAGAAGAAGAAAGUUGAGGAGAAAGUUCAAGCAAUUCAAUCUGAACUUCCUAUCUAUGUGGUAGUAAUGACCAAAAGCCGGAUUAAUGCCGAUCAAUUGGGCAUCCGCAUGGAAUACGGUGCAAGACAUAUUCCACACAUAAACAGAAAAACGGAUCUCAUGCUUCAGGCAGAGGGAAGUACCGAGCAGCACACCUGCAGAUUGGUAAUAGAUCAGAGCGGAAAGAGGUGGAUUCGUCGUGGCUGGAAGGAUUUCGUCACCGAGAAUAAAGUGCGGGAGGGGGAUAUCUGCCUCUUUGAACGGGGAGAGAGCACGAAAAAGCUCAGGAUGAUGGUCUAUUUCAUCCGCAGGUCAAGUCAGACAUAG